rnacentral:lncRNA from 1 species
CGCUCCCGACCGCUACCCGUCCCUCGCCGCUCCCGCCGCCCCUUCGCCCGCCCACCUUCACGCCCCGAGACGCCCGCCACUUCACGCCCAUGAGUCAGCGCAGACAGUCUCGCCGCUGUCCCUCGCUGAGGCGUCCGAGAUUCCCUUACUGUGGCGUGCAGGCUGUGACAUCGUCCACACACGUUCCAGGUGCAGUGUUACCCCCUGCUGUGACGACCACUGCACCAUAGUUGCACCAUAUUGCACCAUUACCAACGCACAGUCCCAUCAUCCCACCGCACCAUCACGACAUGUAGUAGUGUGCGAGUGUAAUGUUGUCUUAGCAAAGAGAGUCCCCGGUGACCGAGGUGUAGUGUAGACUAGUGUUGUGUCGUGUGAAGUUAGCUCGCGCAUCACGCACCGGGGGCCGCACGCGCCCGUGGCAGAUUCGGGUUCUGUACUGUGAUGAUCCAGUGAGACGCAAAUAGAAAUCCAGUCGAUGAUGUAAUGCAUAAGCCUUUCCUCCUGGCGGGGACUCACGUGCGGCCGGCCAGGCGUUGGUGACCGUCGUGUCAGGGCGCCCCCAGAGUUGCUUCCCCCACCGCCUCCUGCUCCUCCUCCUCCUCCUCCACCUCCAUGUCCACCUUCCUAUGCCCUCCCUCUCCCUCGCUCUCUUUCUCUCUCUCUCCCUCUCCCCCUCUAUCUCGCCCCCAAUCCUGGCCCUCUCUCGCCCCCCCCCCCCCCUCACCGUGCUCCCUAAACAUUCGAUUGGCUGGCAAUGGCAUGUGCAUCGUAGCCUAAACCCAAGACAGCCGGCAAAUAUUUGGAGAUGGAUGUUUACCCGAGCCCCGUGUGGCGGCGGUGGGCAGGGAGGCGACCUCGCGCCCCCGGCACUCGCGCCCUGUCCGUCGCCCUCCCGCCCUGCCCUCGCGACGUCGCGUGGCCACCUCGCCCUUUCCUUCCUUUCGCCCAUAAGGAUUGAUUUAUAGAUCUCUCGGCACCUAGAGAGCGAGAGUGACCAGGUCUGGCGCCGUCAAUAGUCUCAGACAGACUAGUUUGCACAAUGACUCCACGCGUGUGCGAAACCCCUGUGCAUGUGGCCGGCUUGUAAAUACCGCCAUCUUGAGUGUCUGUUGAAGCUGAACUAAGCCAUUAGUAUUCAAGACUUCCAACAGCACGGGGGACUAGCAGCCACUACUUGCCCACUCUGGGAGCACCUUUUCAAAGUCUCCACGGCACGUCUGGGUACCUCUCUAGGAUGCACCUCCACUCACCACCUCUCUUCCACCGUCGACAGGUUCUCCGUGGCAAAAAAUCACUGGCUUGUGCAGUGAUCAAUGCAGGCCUACCUGUCGGGUCGACGUCAGUGCCCGGUGACCCUGGCCUGGCGAGGAGUAUGGUGCAUCAGCAUGGAUUCUUCGACCAUGCAGUAAACACGGCAUAGACACAUGCAACACAUUGCACUCCCUUGCAAUGAGCCGCGCCGGCCAACUCGGCACCAAAGGGAUCGACGCAGCCAUACCAAGCAGCGGCGCCGACAUCGCAUCACAAUUAGAAACCUCGUGCUGCUGUUCGAUCGCUCUCCUGGCGUCAACAUUCCUCAUUCAGAUCCCGGUCUAUUGUGACGAAGUUAACGGAAGGAGAGAAUCCUGUUCAUAUUUAUAUCUGUCUCGUUCUUUGUC